rnacentral:lncRNA from 1 species
AUGGGAACGCCGACACCCGCUGAGAUCCAGGAACCUUCUGAAGCUGUCUUUGUCUGUCACCCUCGCAGUCUGUGGCUUUUGCACACAGAGUGGGAAGUGGUUCAGAAAGAGGGGUGCAUUCCUGUGCGAGCGGACCGAGGGUCAAGUGCGUGCAGCAGCCCGUUCUCAGAGGGCACAGAAGUCGCCGAUGGGGCCCCGGCCCUAGGAUCCGGAUGUGGUCCAGAGGGGCUGAGCCGAGCUUCUACUUUACAUGAAGGAGUUGAGACGCGAGAGGGCAAAGGGGCACAGCCGUGCAACCUGUGCCACCAAGAGGGCCAUGGACAGAAGCCAGAGGUGAAGGAACAGAUGUCAUGUCCCCGAGGGCCAGAGUGGCCAGCUCCAAGCACACCGGAAGAGACUCGGGAGCAGAGCAUGCGCAGGUCCAGAAGUCCAAGGCGAGGCCUGGGUGAGACAACAGCUCAAGUUAACUGCACUCCAACUUCCCGCUGAAAUCCCAGUGCAGUCCUAUAACAGGAAAGACUGCUACUUCCAUACUGGAAGCUAAAAUCAGGACUCCAGUUCAUGGCGGGACCAACAGGCUCUUCAACUAAAGAAGCCAAAAGAUGACAGGUAAGUGAAGACCUGAAGGAAAGGAAACCUUUGUACACUGUGGGUUGAUUCAGACAUAGUUGAAAACAAUAGGAGUCUCUUUAAAACUAAGCAUAAAACUACCGUAUGAUCCAGCAAAACACUGUUUUUUCUCUGUCACACAUUGCCAUGGUUCUCCCUCCUCAAGCCCAAAAGCAGUGAAUAAGCCUGAAACCUCUGGGACCAUGAGCCAAAGUAAAAACUUCCCUCUUUGUAAACUCAUUGACUUGGGUAUUAUUUCUUACAGUAACAGAAAGCUGUCCAACACAUCCACUUAUGGAUACAUAGAUCUGAACAAGGAGUUCAGUGUAGGGAAGAGAUACCUGCUCUUCCUGUUAAUUGCAUCCUGACUCACAGCAGCCAAAAUAGGAAAUCAGCCUGUGUCCAUCAAAGAAUGAAUGAAGAUACCAUGAAAGCCAGGUAUUGUGGCACAUGCCUCCAGGAAUACUCUGGUAGGCUGAGGCAGGAGGAUUGAAGGUUUUAAUCCAGACUGGGCAAUUUAGUGACUUUGUAAGACCCUGUCUCAAAAUUUUAAAAUGUUUAAAAAGAGCUGAGGAUGUAGCUCAGUGCAGAGACGCGUGUUUAAUACCCAGUAGUGCAGAAAAACAUACAUACAAUGGGAUGUUAUUUAGCCCCAAGAAGGAAAAGGUGGGAUUUACAACAAUGUAGAUGAGCCUAGAGGACACUGGUAAAGUAGAUAAAGUACACCAAAGCCGGGCGUGGUGGCACACGCCUAUAAUCCCAGCACUUGGGAGGCUGAGUCAGGAGGAUCACCGAGUUGGAGAGCAUCCUGAGCUACAUAGUGACUUCCAGGUCAGUCACAACUACAUAGUAGGACCCUGUCUCAAAAACCAAAGAAUAAAAUAAAGUACAGAAAUGCAAAUGCAGCUCACUUCUGAGGGGAAUCCAAAUAAGUAGAACUCUGAAGCAGAGAGCAGAACAGUGGCUGCCAGGGCCCGGGGAGGAGAAUGGGGAUGUGUCCGUCAAGGGUACAGGGUUUCUGCUAUAAUAUUUGCAGGUUCUGGGGCUCUGACAUAGAGCACGUUGGUGAUAGAUGUGCUGUUCACUUGCGUGUGGUAAUCACAUCUCCUAAACCUGUGGCUGAAUCGUCACAUUGUAUACCUUGAAGAUACUCCAUCUUUGUCUGUCAAAUUAAUGUCUACAAAAGCUAUACACAGUUUAUAAAUCAGAAGGUAAAAUUUCUGGGCUUGGUGGCAUGCCACUAUAAUUCUAGAGCUUGGGAGGCUGAGGCAGGAGGAUCCCUGUGAGUUUGAGGUCAGCCUGGACUACAUAGCACCCUGGAUCCCUGUGGGAAGGGCAGGCUCCCUGCUGGGAGCCCACAGGGCUCUGGGAGUCUGGAGCCAAGGACCUUGUUCUUUUGAUCAUCCCUCCUGUCUCCCCAGGUUUGGGGACACACUGACCAUGGUUCCAGGCUGUGGGUCCCAGGCUUCUGAAGGCAGAGAUCUGGUGGAAGACUGGACUGCGAGGCUCACGGACAUUCUGGGGUGUGAUUGAGAAUGAAGCACCCCACCCUGGAGAAUACCCAGAGUUCCCUGAGGUUCUUAGGAGCCCAGAGUCUGCAAGUGGUGCAGUUAGGGGUGCACAUGCUGUAAAAGGGGUUGAGAGUGUGUACGAACUGCUGUGGCCACAGGGAGCUAUAGCAGGGUCUGGGGUUGGGGGGGUGGUCUCCAAUGGAGCUGGGAGGAGAUUUGGGGAAACACUGGCCAGCAAUGACAUCCCUGAGGACCAGCCUGUGGAGGCGGCAGAGCCAGGCUGCCCAGAGGGACAUCUGGCUCCAAGCCUGUGACCUGGCCUGAGCGCACCGCCUCUGUUUACCUCUCGGUGCGCAGAGCCUCUUUGCAGUUAGCCUUUCCCGCCUGUUCUUGGCAGAGGUGUCCUUCACUGUGAGCAAUUUCUCCCCAACAUGUGCAAGUCCUUAGUAAGUGAUCAGUUAGUCAUUUGUACAAAGAAAUGUAGCAUAGCUGGCCAUGGUGGCCCAGGUCUGUAAUUCCAGCACUCGUGAGGCUGAGGCAGGAGGAUCACCAUGAAUUCAAGGCCAGCCUGGGCUGCACAGUGAGUUCAAGGCCAGAAUGAACACAUAGCAAGACCCUGUCUCAAACAAACAAAAAACAUUGAUAGAAGAAACAUCACAAAUAUAAAAAAGAGAAGGGUUACAAAGCCAGACAAAUAUGUCAUAAGAAAACUGUAGAUCUUCAGGCAAAACCUCUUAGAUCACUCAUCUAAAAUAAAUUGGUGAGGGCUGGGGAUUUAGUUCAGUGGUUCCACCGUCUGCCUCACAAGCGCAAGGACCCGAGUUGGAUCCCUGGGACCAAUAAAAUAAAAUAAAAUAAAUUGGCAGGGCAGUUCCGUUAUCUUGCUGUAGGCGGGCCAUCUUCUUCCCCAUACACCAAGACCAAGAUGGGAUUUCCCAGAGAGUCACACAAUCCACAGAUCUCCACGGCCAGAAACACACGAAUAUUUCCGGCUCGGGAUUGUAGCACACCUCUCUCUCUCGAGGACCUGCACUCUGGUUCUCUGAGUGUGUAAAUCCCUUUAUGCUUCUUGAGAGAGAGAGAGAGAGAGAGAGAGAGAGAGAGAGAGAGAGAGAGAGAGAGAAAAUGGUAGACCAGUAUCCCUUGUUCUUGCAAAAGAACAUGACCUUAACAAAAUACUAGCAAGUUGAACCCAGGAAAAUACAAAAAGGACUGUAGAACACGACCGAGUAGGAUUUACCCCAGGAAUAACACCCACGAUCAACUACUGCAAUGACCACCUGAGAGGACCAAAGCCACAUGAUAUCUCUGGACAAACGGCAUCACAAAUAGAAUCUGACAAAACUUAAUGCCCAAAGUACGGAGAGAAGAAAACUUCCUCAAUGUGUUAAAGGACAUCUGCAGGCUUCACGACUAAGUCACACUGCACUGGGAAGGACUGGGUAGGCCCUCCUGAGAUCAGUCAGAAGAUAGGGACGGAUACCCACUCUCACCACUGCUCACAAUUGUACUAGGGCUUUUAGCCAGGGAGAUUAGUCAAGGGAAAAAAAUUCAAG